UAUUAAACGCAAGAAGCAUCAUUCCCCUUCACCACCACCGUCUGGAUUCGAUUUGGAGGGAGCUUCUUCUUGGAUCUACCCUCACCACCACCGUCUGUUUCUUCUACAACUCUUAAGUCCUCUCUCUUUGAAGCAAGAUGGGGUUGAUUUUCUGUCCAUACUUUCUCCAUAUAUAGCCAUCUUCCAUCAGGUGUGAGCUGUUCUUCUCCCAUGUUGGUGCACUAUAGAAUACACAUAUAUAAUUCUAUUCAGUUUAAGAGAGAUAACUCAAUAAUUAUUCUUUUUCAGGUUUUAUUUGCCCAUUUGUGCCACUACUUCUCAUAGCUUGCACUCUCAUCAAUUCUUAAUUACCUGUUCAUCUUGGAUAAGCAUUACUACUUAAUUUGUUGUACUUUUAGUUAACCAAACUCGUUUCUCAAAUGUGUUUUUUUUAUAUCAGGUUGUGUGUGGAAAUUUUGGAAUUAAUGGAAGUAGUUUGGUUUAAUAACUUUGAAUUUUAUUGUUAUUUAAGUUAAUAUUAGAAUAUAUCUAGUGUUCUCUUUUUCUCUGCAUGCCAUGCCUUAAUAGUGACAAACAUAUUUCACUUUCAUUUUAGUAAAUAGUAAGAAUGAUAGGAACUCCAAGUGAACAAAAAUUGGUACUCUUUUUGUGUGAAGUUAAAGAAAAUUUAAUUCAAUUCAAUAACUACAUUUCCAUAAAAUGUUCAUGAUCUUUUUCUUUUCGUAUUUGUUUCUCUGGUUUGUAAAAUUGAAUGUCCAUACUAUAGCAUAAAUUGUCUAAUUGAACCAAUGUGCCAAAAUAUCAGAGAAGAGUAUGGAUAAAACUGUAAAGAUAUAUUCAAUGUAUUUUGCAGAGGCACUUCUAUAUUGAAACUUUGUUAAUGAUUAUAUUGUUACAGUUAGGAUGCUUGUAAUCUUGUAGAACAUGUUCAUUAUUUAGCACUGUUUUUAAGGCUGAAGCACGAAACUUUUAAGGGAAACAAAAAUGUUAAACAUUAUUUAUUUACAUGCUUGACUAUACAUUGCAUUAAUACAGUACAUUAAAAUGUUAUGCUUGCAAGUUGAUGAGCUGAAUAUGCUCACCUUUGAUGUAUGGACAUAAUGCCAUAGCUGUGAAUGAAUUUCAAAGUCAAGUAGAUUUAUGGCUAGUGGUGAGAAAGAAAAACCAUCCUUGCUGGCCAAGAAUGUUAAAGUGUAUUUUCCCAAGUCUUUGGAAAAGAUCGACAUGGUUAUGUGCGCACAUAUGGAAAAGGGGUUUCACCUUCCAAUCUAUGGGGAUCUAACUUCGAAGUUGGAAUACAAAAAUUAAUUGAUGAAGUUCAAAGGAAUGCUCAGGUUGAACUACAAAGCAUGAAAAACAGAAUGCAAGAGGAAAUGAAAAUAAAGCUAAAAGAGCAAGUGAAGGAGCAAGUGGAAACCAAACUAAAAGAGCAACUAGAAGCCAUGAAAGUUGAGCUUCUAAACAACUUCAAAAUCGCUUUUACUCAAAUCCCAAGUUGUGCUCCAGAAAUAAUGGUUUCAAAUUUGAAUAAAGAGGAGGUGGACAUUGAAGAUGAUGGAUAAUGAUGACAACAUCUCUCAUAAAGGUUUAUUUAUUUCAUUUGAGUACAUUAAAGGAAAGGGUCUUCUUCUUCUUCAUAGCUUUAGUGUUGUUAACAUUCUUGAAUAUCAUGCCAUAAGAUGUUCUUAUUAUCCUCUUGAACAUCAUGCCAAAAGUAAUUGUUGCAAUCCAUACAUAGCCACUGCCCAUCAUUCCUAGCUUCUGAGCAAUGGAAAAAUGCUCAAACCAGUUUCAGGAUUAACAUCCCUCCAUCAUUCCUAGCUUCCAUUUUAUCUAAGUAGUGUUGUUCAAGGAAAAGAAAUAGGAAAAAGAGAGCGGAAACCCAAAAUUCAUUUUGACGGGACCGACCUGAAAAAAUUGAAACAAGAGAAAUCUCACAAGUUUGCUAAAUAAUGCACAUACAUUGUUACAUGCAAAUGAGCUGAAGAAGCGGCUUGAAUAAGGUAAUGAUAGUUGGAAGUUCAGCAUCAAAAGAUUCUGAAUGAGGAAGAUGAUGAAGAAUAAGAUUGAAAUUAAAGCUAAUUCACUACCAUAUCUCCAAGAAAUUCUGAACUAUCAAAAUAAAAAUUCAUGCAUUAGUAACAUAUAUAUUACUGAUACAGUUCAAUUUAUGUUGAUGGUUAUUGAGAUCAUAUUUUAUGUUGAUGGUUUCAGUUGAGGUAUAUUCUUUGAUGUAUUUACUUUUAUUUUUA